rnacentral:tRNA from 1 species
ACCUGGGUGGCUCAGUUGGCUCAGCACCUGAUUCUUGAUUUAGAUCAGGUCAUGAUCUCACAGUUUUGUGGGUUUGAGUCCCACCUUGGGCU